rnacentral:rRNA from 1 species
AGUGAACGCUGGCGGUAGGCCUAACACAUGCAAGUCGAACGGCAGCACAGGAGAGCUUGCUCUCUGGGUGGCGAGUGGCGGACGGGUGAGGAAUACAUCGGAAUCUACUCUGUCGUGGGGGAUAACGUAGGGAAACUUACGCUAAUACCGCAUACGACCUACGGGUGAAAGCAGGGGAUCUUCGGACCUUGCGCGAUUGAAUGAGCCGAUGUCGGAUUAGCUAGUUGGUGGGGUAAAGGCCCACCAAGGCGACGAUCCGUAGCUGGUCUGAGAGGAUGAUCAGCCACACGGGAGCGGAUACAGUGUCCAGACUCCUACGGGAGGCAGCAGUGGGGAAUAUUGGACGAUGGGCGCAAGCCUAAUCCAGCCAUACCGCGUGGGUGAAGAAGGCCUUCGGGUUGUAAAGCCCUUUUGUUGGGAAAGAAAUCCAGCUGGCUAAUACCCGGUUGGGAUGACGGUACCCAAAGAAUAAGCACCGGCUAACUUCGUGCCAGCAGCCGCCGUAA